AGAUUAUGAAGAUAGCAUAUAAAGUAUGGACACUUGAUGUGUGACCAAGUCACACAUCAAGUGUCCAUACUUUAUAUGCUAUCUUCAUAAUCUUUUUGUGGUGU